rnacentral:rRNA from 1 species
ACGAGGCACUACGGUGCUGAAGCAACAAAUGCCCUGCUUCCAGGAAAAGCCUCUAAGCAUCAGGUAACAUCAAAUCGUACCCCAAACCGACACAGGUGGUCAGGUAGAGAAUACCAAGGCGCUUGAGAGAACUCGGGUGAAGGAACUAGGCAAAAUGGUGCCGUAACUUCGGGAGAAGGCACGCUGACACGUAGGUGAAGUGAUUUACUCAUGGAGCUGAAGUCAGUCGAAGAUACCAGCUGGCUGCAACUGUUUAUUAAAAACACAGCACUGUGCAAACACGAAAGUGGACGUAUACGGUGUGACGCCUGCCCGGUGCCGGAAGGUUAAUUGAUGGGGUCAGCGCAAGCGAAGCUCCUGAUCGAAGCCCCGGUAAACGGCGGCCGUAACUAUAACGGUCCUAAGGUAGCGAAAUUCCUUGUCGGGUAAGUUCCGACCUGCACGAAUGGCGUAAUGAUGGCCAGGCUGUCUCCACCCGAGACUCAGUGAAAUUGAACUCGCUGUGAAGAUGCAGUGUACCCGCGGCAAGACGGAAAGACCCCGUGAACCUUUACUAUAGCUUGACACUGAACAUUGAGCCUUGAUGUGUAGGAUAGGUGGGAGGCUUUGAAGUGUGGACGCCAGUCUGCAUGGAGCCGACCUUGAAAUACCACCCUUUAAUGUUUGAUGUUCUAACGUGGACCCGUUACCCGGGUUGCGGACAGUGUCUGGUGGGUAGUUUGACUGGGGCGGUCUCCUCCUAAAGAGUAACGGAGGAGCACGAAGGUUGGCUAAUCCUGGUCGGACAUCAGGAGGUUAGUGCAAUGGCAUAAGCCAGCUUGACUGCGAGCGUGACGGCGCGAGCAGGUGCGAAAGCAGGUCAUAGUGAUCCGGUGGUUCUGAAUGGAAGGGCCAUCGCUCAACGGAUAAAAGGUACUCCGGGGAUAACAGGCUGAUACCGCCCAAGAGUUCAUAUCGACGGCGGUGUUUGGCACCUCGAUGUCGGCUCAUCACAUCCUGGGGCUGAAGUAGGUCCCAAGGGUAUGGCUGUUCGCCAUUUAAAGUGGUACGCGAGCUGGGUUUAGAACGUCGUGAGACAGUUCGGUCCCUAUCUGCCGUGGGCGCUGGAGAACUGAGGGGGGCUGCUCCUAGUACGAGAGGACCGGAGUGGACGCAUCACUGGUGUUCGGGUUGUCAUGCCAAUGGCACUGCCCGGUAGCUAAAUGCGGAAGAGAUAAGUGCUGAAAGCAUCUAAGCACGAAACUUGCCCCGAGAUGAGUUCUCCCUGAGACUUUAGGUCUCCUGAAGGAACGUUGAAGACGACGACGUUGAUAGGCCGGGUGUGUAAGCGCAGCGAUGCGUUGAGCUAACCGGUACUAAUGAACCGUGAGGCUUAACC